UUUGAAUAGGUAAUUUUGGCCAAAGUAUUAGAUAUAGCAUAUGGAUGAUAAAAUAAAUUUCGCAAAGAUGAAUAUCUUUUUCUAGAAGCAGCAUCAACAUCUCAUUUUUCAUUAGUAGUAUAUCAACGGCCAAAAGUUAAAAUCUUCCAUGCAAGAAAGUGAUUCUGCUGACAGAAAAUGCUCACCCUACAGCGAAGAUGUCCAUGGAUGGCCUCAAAGAUGCAUCUUGUGAAACAUGCAUCUCACCUCCAUGCUCAUAAAAUCUCUGAAAAGUAAUGUAAAAAGUUGGUUUUUAUUAUACAAUUCAUUUAAGUUUUAAAAGAUAAUUAAGGGGAAAAAAUUUAUAGGACUGCAGGUUACAGAUGAAAGGAAAAAGUAUACAAUUUGUACGAGGCUUUUUAAUUUCUAGUUGAAUGAAUACUAUACUAAUAUGACAGGAAUUCUGAAAACUCCAAAUUUCCAGAGAGUGAUACAGUCAACCAAUAAUAAGAAUGCAUAGAAGGUGCGAUUAUUUCAACUUAAAUCGACCGAAUAACACUGGAACCUUGAAUAAAACUCUACAUUUGCAGAUGAUAUUGAAUCAAUUGAACUAAUGGAAAGAAGCUUUAAUGCUAGACAAAAUUGUGCCAACAUUAACAGAGGUGUUGGCAGCAAAAAACUUGUGGUGGUAGAGGAAUCAUAAUAAAUAGUUGGGACGUUAGGGGGAGUUACCUGGUGGCACUGGUAUUUGGCAACAAUGAUUUGCAGUUUGAACUAUUGUGGCGUUUUUUUUUCUUUACUCAUGAAAGCUGUUGACAGAUAAGGAUCUCUUAUUCAAUGAUAAUAAAAAGAUAGAUAGACAAAAGAAUAAGGAACCAACCUCUGGUGCAAGAUAACAACACCUUCUUUCCCCAGUGUUGAAGAAAAACGAGAAAUCGUAGGGGUCAUCAUGCGGAAUAUAAGUAGUUUUGAAGGAUGCAAAGUCGGCAAGGUAAAGCCAAUUCCAAGAAGUGAUGAGCACAUUCUCACACCUGAUAUCACCUGGGAAAAUAACACAUUAAUGUGAAUCUGACCACCGCCAACAAAAUACUUCAUAUUACAGUAUAACCAAAACCCUGUAACCCCGAGCUCACCAUGACAAACUCCAAUCUCAUGGAUUUGCUUCACCGCGUAAAGCAACUACAUAACCACCAAAAUGUAGACUUCUAAAUCAAAGUGUAUUGAUAUGAAUUAUGAAAUUUUAUAUAUGAAUACACAGUGAGGGGGAGCGAGACCUGAUAAGCCAACCAUUCCUUCUCAACGAGACUGAGGAAAGGUCACGUACUCAAACGAUCAUGAAGGUUAUUGAAAAAGUAUUGUCUCAACAGAUAAGCAGCUUUAUCCGUUUCAAGCCAAAACUGCAUCAUAUUUCAUUCAAAGAAACUGAAAUUUUUUAGCUAAGACAACAACCAAUUCAUUAUUAUAAACCUAGUGCAUCUGAUUUAAUAAGAGUGGUAAGCGAGAAAAAUUCGAUUUUGGGCUUUUCAACCUCAAGUGUGACUAAUAUUUAAAUGAAUUGAGUCGAGUUUUAAACGAGAUUUGAUUUGGUGAGAUGAGCUCGAAUCGAGUAAUAAAGAAAUUAGCUUCAUCAGUGUAUAACCGAGCUCGGUCAAGCUUUAGCUGAGGUCAUUAAUUAUUUCCUAACAGUAAUUUUAAAUAAAAUAAAGAAAUUAAUUAGAAAAUACACUUAUAUAUAGUCAGGUCGGACCGCACUCAAGUCGAGUACAAAAAGGAGAAAAUCAAGCAACUAUAUAUAGGCAAAAAGGUUUGAUCGAGCUCGGCACACUAAAUAGACUCGAGGUCAAACCGGGCUCAUAAGCAGCCCAGUGCCCCAGUUUGCUAACCAGCCCAAGUUUCAACUUUCAGUAAAUGACUGAUAUCAUCAAGACAUCAACUCAGAUGAUGACUCUAUUGUUUACUUGAGUGGAGCUGUGGAGGUCCCCCAUGUGAAAGAAAAUCAAAAGUAUAGUUUCUACUCUUUCCUUUUCCAGCCUUUAAACUAGAUAAAGUAGUUCUCUAUAAAGCCAACUGAAAAGUUUGGUUCCAUCCACUUCCAAGCAAUCCAAAACCGAAUUUUCUAAAACACUUCUUUGCGGCACGGACUUCAUUCCUUGGAUUGGAUAUUUAGGCAGGCUAGUUUAGGUUUAAGUUGAUUUUCCUUCAAUUCAGGCACUGAAUCUAUUUUCUAUAACACAGUACUAAUUCUAAGGGGAAAAUAGUUAUUCAUACGUCAGCAAUAGAAACCAAUUCUAGAUCUGAGGUUUUUGAUUAGUGUUCUGACCUAAAAAAGCAAGCUACAAAUGAAUGAGUAUGUGAGAGGAGUGUUUGGGCAUAAUACACAACUAUACAAUAACCCAUCAAAUACUAGCAAGGGAGCAUCAUCUAUGAUUUUAACAGUCACUAAACAAGCUCAUAAAAAAUAAACUAAGGACAUAGAAACUACAGAAAAGAAGCCACGGGAAUCAUGAAAUACAAAAGAAACGGAACAACUAAAUUCAAACGGUUAGAAUCGGAUCACAUACUUUGUAAAGAAUCAAUACAAAAAUUUAUCAAUUAUGAACCACAAGUUCUAACAAUCUCCACUAACCUCGCCCAUUCAGAAAUAAGCCACUUGUUCUAACCUGUUUUGGGGAGAAUUUUUUCUUUCUAGCAUCUGGAGACAUUAGUCAAGACCAAGUAAUGCUUGAACUUGUCUGCGGUCACAGUCUAAGUGUGAACCUUUUUUAAUAUCACAUCACUCAUAGCAAUUAACUCUCUCACUUUGUAAAACCUUACGUCAAUAUGUUUGAUCCUUACAUGAUACACUUGAUAUUUUGUCAAAUAAUGUCACUCUGACUAUCACAAUAUAACUAUACUCCAUCUUGAACGCUUUUUUCUUAACCUCAACCAAUGUCAUAUAUUGAAAGUGAUUGUAUUAUGGAUCUGUAACAUAAUCCCAUUAUUUGCAAUACUUCUCAAGUAUCUGAAUAUUCACUUGACCGUUUUGCAUAAGGCACGCUUGACAUAUUCCAAACACUUCUCAAGUAUCUAAAUAUUCACUUGACCGUUUUGCAUAAGCCACGCUUGACAUAUUCCAAACAGUGUUGUAGACAACAAUUAGUUUUUGUAUUGGACUAUAAUAAUGAUAUUUAUUCAUUUAUUUAUUUUACUAUGGACAUAUAUAAAAAUAUUAUUUCUACUUAAAUUUUUGAUAUUUUCAUCUAGUCCCCCUCCCUCAUAGAGCUGAUAUCCACUUUCUUUUCAUAUGAAUAAAAACUAUUUAACAAUAUCAAAAAUACAUAUUAUAAAAAUAUGAAUUUCCUAUAUAUAUCUAUAUAUAUAUAUAUAUAUAUAUAUAUAUAUAUAUACAACACUCCAGAGUCCAGCACAAGACAAAAAAUUCCAUAAUUAAUACCAAAAAGUAACAAAUAAAAACUAUCAGUGACCUGCGAACUUAUCUUCUUAAUCACCAUGGAAAUUACAGAAGUUCAAAAAUAAAGUAUGUCCAUUAAACGAAGGAAUCCAAAAAACAGCUGUUCAAAAAAAAAAACANNNNNNNNNNNNNNNNNNNNNNNNNNNNNNNNNNNNNNNNNNNNNNNNNNNNNNNNNNNNNNNNNNNNNNNNNNNNNNNNNNNNNNNNNNNNNNNNNNNNGCUCUCCAAGUGAUUAGUAAAGAAAGUAGUAGCUGAUUAUCCAUCCUUGCUUAAGGAGUACUACAGAUCAGAGUUUCCAAAACGCAUUAGUUUCAACUUUAAAGUACCUUGUAGAUCAGAUCAGGUCAAACACGCCAUAAACAAAUCACAAUCAGCAGAAAUCAUAUAUAGAAUAGGAAAUCAAAUUUGAAUUUUAUUUAUGCAAUAUGAGUAAAUCCAUAGAUCGAGAUCACCCAACACCAUAAAAGAAAUAUUUACAACGAUCUCAUUCAUAUCUUCAUCAUCAUCAUCUAAAACAUAAAUGGAGAAGUUUAUAUAUCUUAAUUAUUCGCAACUUCGGGAUCUUCAAAGUUGGGAUCCUUCGAAUCAAAAGCGGCAGCGUUUUCAAACUUUCCGAGCUCGGCGUGGGAGUAGCCGUCACCGGACCAAGUGAACUUGCCGCCAUGACCUCCCUUCUUCGGCGAGCCACUCAAUCCAGUCCCAGAUUUUCUGUCCUUGCGCAAGUCCUGCCCCGUUUUGCCAUUGGGUUUGGGAUUGGAACCUUUCCCUGCCUUCAUUCUCUCUCUCUAGCUUUACUCUUUCACUGUGUGUGAGAUUUCCAGAAAAGCGUACGCAGGUGACUACUAAUUUAUAGGCUGUUUGGAUUUUUAUUUUGUAGACGGUUUGGAUUCUUGCGUUGUCUAGGAGCAUGUGACGUGAGUCACGUGACAAGUACAUUGAGAUAUGGAUAAGAACGAAUACAAUUCUCUCUCCCCUUUUUAAAUAUCUUUUAGAAAUGUGUUUUAUUUUUUAACAUUUAUUGUUUGAGAAUUUUAAUUAAAUAUUAAUUAUUUAAUUUUUAAUAUUAUUUUAAAUAUUAAAUAUAAUUUUGAUCGUUUUAUUAUUUUAUGGUUAAUAAAUAGUAUUUUUAAUAUAAAAAUAAUAUAAACAAUUAAUAUUAUAUAAUUAUUUUUUUAAUACUUAUACAUAAUUUUAAAAUCACAUAUAUUAAGACAAAGAGAAGUAUAAUGAAGAAUCAUCUUUAAAAAGAAUUGUUUAGGAGAGCUAAACAAUCAUCUUUAAAAAGAAUUGUUUUUUUUGUUACAAAUACGAUUAUUUUGGAUUUGUAUUUUAACAGUUUAAAUAGUACAAAUGUUAAAGAUAAAUGCCAUAAUAUUAAAGUAUGUAAUUUUUCAUAUAAUUUGAAGUAGUAAAUUAAAACACCAUUGUCUUGAUUAUGUAAAAUAAUAAAAUUUUAUAGCGUCACAGAUUUAUUUAUUUCUAUUAUUACGAGUUUUUUUUUGAAACAUUUGACUAAUUUAUAUGAUAAUUUAUAUUUUCUUAUACUUUUGCACAUUCUUUUUUUAUAGUGGUGAAGUAAAUCUCUAAUCGGGAAGCUUCAAGAGCAUAAUUCUUAAAUAGCAUAACGCCUUAAAUAGCAUAAUUUUAUCAAAACGACGUAAUUUUGAUAAAACGCGGUGGCAUUUUUGUAAAUACGCGGUGGCAUAGUAUUUAUAAAAAUACCACCGCGUCUUAUCAAAACUACGUCGUUUUGAUAAAAUUAUGCUAUUUAAAGCGUUAUGCUAUUUAAGGAUUAUGCUUUUGAAGCUUUCCAUAUAUAUAGACAACACAAUUAUAAAAAUUAAAAUUAUUAAAAAAACUACCAACUAUAAAUUUUAUUUCUGUCAAAAAUUAAAUGAGUUUUAAAUUUGAAAAUAUCUCGUAUUUUCUUUGAAAAGUUAAAAUUUCCUAUAUUUUGGAAGAGAAAACAUUUUCCUGCCUGCCAAAACGAAGAAAGUACGGAAGCCACAUAUUAACGUCAAAUUUUUAAUAGCUAAUAUGUAGAACCCACAAAAUAUCAUAUAUUGCAUAAGUUCCAACCAUAAGAACAUUGCUUGAAAUUUAAAUCUAGAUAUGAUUGGCAACAGGUUGUGUAGAGUGAGUAAGAAUAUUUGGUGUAGAAAUAGGUUCCACGCUGACUGCAUCAUAAUAAGUUGCAAUCAUUCUUGAGGCAAUAUGAGAAGCGUGGUUGUGCUUGACACAGUCAAACUUUAGUACUACAUUAGCUAGAUGCUAAAAUCAAUUUUGUGAAGGGUUUUAGGCAAGACCNNNNNNNNNNNNNNNNNNNNNNNNNNNNNNNNNNNNNNNNNNNNNNNNNNNNNNNNNNNNNNNNNNNNNNNNNNNNNNNNNNNNNNNNNNNNNNNNNNNNAAGUUAGAUUACUAAUCAAGUAAUGAUAUGUCAUUAUCAAUAUAUAUAUAUAUAUAUAUAUACACACACACACACACACACUAACCAGAAGGUCUGAAGCUGAUGAUCUGUCUCUGGGGACCUUCUGUAUGCUGUAAAUGCAUGAAUCAACAAAAGAAACAAGUUAAAAUUUGUAUCCGAGUAUAUGGAUUUCCUAGUAAAAGAGAAUAUGGAUGAACCAAAAAAGAUGCAAUGCUAUGCACAGAGAAUUUUGCAGACAAAUUAAGAAGAAGAAGAAUCUCUAAGGUCUCAUUGCAGCAAAUUAGAUUUUGUAGGUUAGAGCCUUGGGAGUUCAAAAAAGAAAACAAGGGAUGAAUGUGUGUAACACAGUAUACUAACAUAAACUCUAAGAAAGCAUGGCAGCAUUAAAAGACAGAUCAUCUGCCUUGGCCUUUAACAAGUAACAACACCCAAGGAAAAAUGGCUUAAAAUUCUCUCUGUCCUUAACUCACCACAUGGAAAGGAAAGCUAAUUCCCACUGAUUUGUUCACAGAAAAGAGGGGACAGAUAUUGGACAUAAAAUUAGAAGUAGUAAAAUAGUUAUGUAAGAAAUAGAUCCACAGACCAAAUUAAUUUUAUGAGAACAGGUGUGUCUGAAAUAAAUACUGGAAUAGCUGCAAUUUUGUUUAUAGAGAUAUCUGUCACGAUUAUAAUAUAUAUAGCUCAUUUUGUUUUGUCUUUUACCAAAGUUUCUGUUUAGUUGUGACAAUUGUUUUGCAUGUUCUACAACUUCAAAUAAUGGAUAAUGCAGAGACCCAAAAGACAAGUAUUCAUUAGGUCACCAGCUGUUCUAUGCAAGUCAGCUUCUUUCAGAUAUUGACUUAAAGUAUACUUGUUGCACUAAAGAUAAUGCCCUUAACAACAAUAUGGAAAAGAUACUAGUCAACCCAAAAUUGUGUUCAAAACAAUGUACAGAUGGAAAUAAAAUAAUGAACAAGCAAGUAACAUGCAAAAAAAUUCUCCACUAAUAGAAAUCGUUCGACAUUCAGCUCCUCAAGGUUCCCUGGAAAAGAAUGAAGAUAUGACUGAAUUUAUCAACAUGAUCUAUUGAUAUCUCAGAUAUUCGUUCUUUGUACCAAUACGAGGUCAUGGAGUUUCACACACAUCAGUUACACUUUAACUACUGUAAUCUUCUUUCCUUUUUUACCAUUGACCUUUUCUAUUGUUCUUUUUUCUCUUCUUUUUUUUGUUGGGGGGGAGGUUUGGGUUGUGCAUGCUUCAUACAUAGUGCAACCAAGAAAUAUAAAAUAUUCGAAUGCAGUGUUUCCAAUGACCAAUAAUGUAAUGGCGAAAUGCAAUCACUAUAAGACAAAUGUUUAGCAUAGUAAUAGCAGAUUUUAUGCAGCUCAUCAAUAUAAAUGCCGAAGGACCCUAUAUUAUUACCAGGCUGAAACAAACGAACAGAAU
rnacentral:lncRNA from 1 species